UACGGAGGGUGCGAGCGUUGUCCGGAAUCAUUGGGCGUAAAGGGCGCGUAGGCGGCGCGGGUAGUCAUCGGUGAAAGUUCAGGGCUCAACUCUGAAUCGGCCGGUGAUACUCCCGUGCUCGAGCACUGUAGAGGCAGGUGGAAUUCCGGGUGUAGCGGUGGAAUGCGUAGAGAUCCGGAAGAACACCGGUGGCGAAGGCGGCAUCCUGGACCGACAUUGACGCUGAACGGCGAAAGCUAGGGGAGCAAACGGG
rnacentral:rRNA from 1 species